GAUUCUGGGUUAUGCGGACUACGCCUUCACCUCCAUCUUCACUGUUGAGAUUCUGUUUAAGAUGACGGUCCACGGAGCGUUCCUCCAUCAGGGCUCGUUCUGCAGAAACUGGUUCAACUUGUUGGAUCUGCUGGUCGUCAGCGUCUCACUGGUCUCCUUCUUCCUUCACUCCAGUGCGAUCUCUGUGGUGAAGAUCCUCCGAGUCCUCCGGGUGCUCCGACCUCUGAGAGCCAUCAACAGAGCCAAAGGCCUGAAGGUAACGUCCCUGGUU